rnacentral:rRNA from 1 species
AUACGGAGGAUCCGAGCGUUAUCCGGAUUUAUUGGGUUUAAAGGGAGCGUAGGUGGAUUGUUAAGUCAGUUGUGAAAGUUUGCGGCUCAACCGUAAAAUUGCAGUUGAUACUGGUUUCCUUGAGUACGGUACAGGUGGGCGGAAUUCGUGGUGUAGCGGUGAAAUGCUUAGAUAUCACGAAGAACUCCGAUCGCGAAGGCAGCUCACCGGGCCGGAACUGACACUGAUGCUCGAAAGUGCGGGUAUCAAACAGGAUUAGAUACCCUGGUAGUCCGCACAGUAAACGAUGAAUACUCGCUGUUUGCGAUACACGGUAAGCGGCCAAGCGAAAGCGUUAAGUAUUCCACCUGGGGAGUACGCCGGCAACGGUGAAACUCAAAUGAAUUGGCGGGG